rnacentral:misc_RNA from 1 species
GAUGAAGAACGUAGCGAAAUGCGAUAAGUAAUGUGAAUUGCAGAAUUCAGUGAAUCAUCGAAUCUUUGAACGCACAUUGCGCCCGUCAGUAUUCUGGCGGGCAUGCCUGUUCGAGCGUCAUUACGCCCCUCAAGUCCCCUGUGGACUUGGUGUUGGGGAUCGGCGAGGCUGGUUUUCCAGCACAGCCGUCCCUUAAAUUAAUUGGCGGUCUCGCCGUGGCCCUCCUCUGCGCAGUAGUAAAACACUCGCAACAGGAGCCCGGCGCGGUCCACUGCCGUAAAACCCCCCAACUUUUUAUAGUUGACCUCGAAUCAGGUAGGACUACCCGCUGAACUUAAGCAUACAAUAAGCGGAGGA